GAAAUGCGAUAAGUAAUGUGAAUUGCAGAAUUCAAUGAAUCAUCGAAUCUUUGAACGCACCUUGCGCUCCUUGGUAUUCCUUGGAGCAUGCCUGUUUGAGUAUCAUGAAAUCUUCAAAGUAAAUCUUUUGUUAACUCAAUUGGUUUCUACUUUGGUAUUGGAGGUCUUUGCAGCUUCACACCUGCUCCUCUUUGUUCAUUAGCUGGAUCUCAGUGUUAUGCUUGGUUCCACUCGGCGUGAUAAGUUAUCUAUCGCUGAGGACACUGUAAAAGGUGGCCAAGGUAAAUGCAGAUGAACCGCUUCUAAUAGUCCAUUGACUUGGACAAUACUUUUAUGAUCUGAUCUCAAAUCAGGUAGGACUACCCGCUGAACUUAAGC
rnacentral:misc_RNA from 1 species